UCCCGCGCUGGGGCGGGGGGAGGCGGCGACGGGCCGUGCCCGGCUCGCCCUGCGAGCGGUGGGGCCGCGUCGAGCCGCCGACUGUCACACGUUCCCCGCGGGAGCUCCGCUGCGGGACUCAGGCGGGCACGGCCCGCGGUGGCCGCCCCGGUGGAGGUCUCGGUGGGUUAAGCAGCCGCAGUUGGCGGCACAGCUCGUCAGCAGAGCAGGCAGCUGCAUUUCUGAGGGACAAGCCCGGGGAUGACGGCAAAUCGGAAGAAGUAAUGUUUAGUGGGGACGCUUAAAACUGUGAAAAACCCACUAGGUAUUAACUGCACGCCUGUGAGGCCUAAGUGCAGCACACAGGAUAAGCACAGCCGCGAAUCCCUGGAGCACACCCCGGAAUAACCAAGUGUCCCGGCGCAGCUCCGCGGUGCCCGGCACGGGGCCCGCCCGGCCCCUGCCACCCCGCGGCCGCGCGAGCGGCGGAGCCCCCUCCGCGGCACAUUGCCGGGAUCUGUUGAAGGACAGAAAAACUUCCUAGCAGGAGUUUCUCGAUUCCAGACCGCUGACGUAAGCCGCAGCCAAUGCAGCGCUGGCCGGACGGCAGCAGCGCUCGGGCCCGCUCGACACGAGCCCGGGCAGGGCAGGGCACGUGCGCUGCCGUGCCCGGUACGCGGCGGUGGCAGCGUGACCGAGCUGCGAGCUCCGUGCGCGCCCCCCGUGUCCGAGACAGCAAAACAUUCUAAACCUGCCCCUGCCGGCGGCUAACGCAGACGCGGUGCCCCGCACAGGUACACGGAACUCUUCCCGGGAGCGCUUCCUGACGCGUAAGCGCCCGGCGCAGGAAUGCCGCCCGCCCGGGGACAGGCUGGCCGUGAGCCCAGCCCGCUCCGGCAGGCGCAGCCCAGGUGUGCUUUAUCCACACCGCCACCUGUGGGGCUCCCGCAGCCCUGCAGCCCCGGCCUGGGCCGGGCACGGAACCCUGUGCCCAGCAAUCGUUUAGCAUUGAAAGGAAAAUCGUCUGCCUGGGAGAAAUGUACUUGGGAAAGCGUAGGAUAGCGAAGAUACAUUUUGCUUCUAAAUAUAUAGAAAAUAAAAUAUCGACAUCUGAAUGGCACCACAGAGAAGACAUCUGGCUCGGGCUGCAGUGAACCAAUGGAGGAACAUCUGCUCGAGCUGUUUUCUCUGUGGUCCUCGGGGGACAUGCUCAGCCUAGAACUUCAUAGGGUCUUGUUGUAGGAUACAACAUUAAUGGGAAGGCACAGUUUAGCUAAUCCAUCUAGAUGCUUGUAGUGACUGUUUCUGGUGGAAAUUUGACAGUGGGCCUUGUUUCAAAAAGCUGAGAGAAAGCAAAGUACGGGCUGAGCACUGAAACACACACAUCACAGAGAUCCCCUGUUGAAGCUGUCUUUUUAGUUUAAGGGCUACCAGCAAUGGCAUGAGAAAAUGGAGGGUUACAGAAAUGAAGAGGAAGAGCAGCCUGGUGACUUCUGUCUGGCAGAAAUGCCUCUAUCGUAUUUGAUUUGAAAUUUACAUAGAUGCCAGCAGUUAUGACACAACUGUCACUUUAAGUUCACUUAACUGGACAUGAAACAAUAAUGACAAACAAUCAGAAUGACAGUUCUCCUUCUAGUCUGCAGUGAGGUUCUUCUAUCUCAAUUCUGCAACAUUUCUUCUGUUCACUCCACCAGACAAAUGUGUUUCUGUUAUUAAGAUUUCUCUGGCUCGGUGCAGCAUUGCUAAAAGCAAGAGGAAGAGUUUCUAAGCUUUCUAUUUAGUUUUUCAGCCAUACCAUUAUCAAAGAAAGAGUUUCUUAGUAACAGUUUUUAACAUUAACUCUUUAAUAGCUACCUUCCUGAUGUAAUCCAUUAUUGAAAAAUAUUAUAUUGUGUAAGAAUAUUACAUUAUUUUUUAAUAUAAAAAUAUAGCUUUCUACUCUUAGGUUAUUUUUCAUAACUGGAGGGACUACUAUACUCCAUGACCAUAACUCUUUUUAUCAUUCUAGUAUGAUUCAGUAGCUUUUGCUGUCUUAUAAACAAUCUUACAAUUAAGAGCUAAUGUUAAUGGAAUAGAUUGUUGUCAUAGGAUAAUGGUUUCCUGCUGCUAGAUAAAUGCUGUGGCAAUGCUAGGACAUUUAUUGAAAGUAAUAGUGAAGACAAAGCUAAGAGAUUUAUUUUUAAAGCAGGUGCCACAGAUCCAGUGACACCAUUCUGUUAAAAUUGUUUUAUUUCUAUUUCACUGAGAGACUGAUGAAGAUGGAAGCAUUUUGCCUGAUGUAUGCAAGUGCAGCAAAGUGACAGUGGCUCAUUUCACUGUAACUGAAUAAGCUGCAUUGCACUUGGCUUGGGAAGAGAUUUAUUGUGUGGCUCAUCCAAUCAGAAAACAGUUUAUCCAUUAACUACGGCUUUCAAAUAUGUUGUAUUUCUGUGAACAAGAUGGGGCUUGAUGCUUUCUUUCACAGAAAGAGUUAUACAGGGUUCUCAGAACAGGAGGAAAGUGGGGCCCUUCGGUGCUUGUUCCACCAGUCAUUCCAGAAGCCCGCGGAAUGCUAGGCUGGGGAGAGGGAACCUGUCUACAAUGUGUUCCCCUCCUCCUAAAUCAAUGGUUCCUUGUCUCCCCUCUGCAUUGCAGGGUGUUAUCUCAGUGUCAGCAAACCAGAAAUGGCAGGAUUGUUCUUACCAGUGCAGAGGGUGGACAGGAAAGUUUUUGUGUAGUCUAGUGUUUCCUUUGUCUUUGCAUUCACAGGAUCUCGAGGUUCUGGAAAAUUUGCCUUCUUCCUUUUCCAUGACUUUCAAAAUUACUCACCCCUGAAUUCUCCAAGAGAGAACUGUGAAAAGCAGAGCUCGUAGAGCUUCAUAGGCCCUCUAUCUGCUCUUGUGGAAUUGUAAUAAAACACCUUGAUUGCCCCAAAUAUACAGCUCCUACAAAACUGGAGUCAGUUGUCAGGAAGUACAUGGAAUCCAUUCAAUGCAAUGAGCUUCCUCUGGACAGAUAUGCCCUAAUUGCCUGACUUAGGCUUCAGCAAAUCCUUUGUCUUUUCUUUUGAACUGUGGAGCAGCUAUUCCAAGUGGCAGUGCUGUAGCUAUGACAGCUUGAGGAUAUUCCACAAAUAAGAAAAAACAUGAUCCCUUCCUACAAUCUCUGAUCAUUCUGAAGCAUCUUUAAAGUUGUGUUGUAAAACAGUAUAAUGACUUUAUAUAACCCUAAAGUCCCUGCUAGGGUUUCCUUAAGAAACAAACUAAUUUUAUGAUUAAGGCCCACGGACCUUGACAUCAAACCAGCAAUUCACUGCUGCAAGGACUUACUGCUCUCUGUAGCUGCUCAAAGCACAGUUCUGAAUUAACUUCUAAGACCAGAGCUUGAAGGCAGUAAACAACUUUAACCUUUUCUUGACCCCAGACACAUCUCACAAACAGCACUUCAGUAAAUACAAAAAUUUCACUUUAAACCAUGUGCAGAUAUUCUGAGAACUACUUCAGUCUUAAGUUUUUGAGUUUUAAGAAAAUGGUUAUACUAACAACUGGGCAAGUGUUACAGUACUUGUUCCAAAGGGCCAUCAGGUAAGGUUCAUAGAGAAAAAUAGAAAUAGGAGAGAUCUGCAAUCGUGACAGAAUUAACCCUUGUAGCUGUGAAGUCUGUUGGGUCAUCACACAGUGCAGAGCUCCAGCAAACACAUA